rnacentral:rRNA from 1 species
GUGAGGAAUAUUGGACAAUGGGCGCAAGCCUGAUCCAGCCAUGCCGCGUGCAGGAAGACGCAUCUAUGGUGUGUAAACUGCUUUUGUACGGGAAGAAACACUCCCUCGUGAGGGAGCUUGACGGUACCGUAAGAAUAAGGAUCGGCUAACUCCGUGCCAGCAGCCGCGGUAAUACGGAGGAUCCAAGCGUUAUCCGGAAUCAUUGGGUUUAAAGGUUCCGUAGGCGGUUUAAUAUGUCAGUGGUGAAAGCCCAUCGCUCAACGAUGGAACGGCCAUUGAUACUGUUAGACUUGAAUUACGAGGAAGUAACUAGAAUAUGUAGUGUAGCGGUGGAAUGCUUAGAUAUUACAUGGAAUACCAAUUGCGAAGGCAGGUUACUACUUGUGGAUUGACGCUGAUGGACGAAAGCGUGGGGAGCGAACAGGAUUAGAAACCCUUGUAGUCC